rnacentral:rRNA from 1 species
CCUACGGGUGGCAGCAGUGGGGAAUAUUGCACAAUGGGCGAAAGCCUGAUGCAGCAACGCCGCGUGAAGGAAGAAGGGUUUCGGCUCGUAAACUUCCAUCAACAGGGACGAAAGAAAUGACGGUAACAGAAGAAGAAACCCCGGCUAACUACGUGCCAGCAGCCGCGGUAAGACGUAGGGGGCAAGCGUUAUCAGGAAUUACUGAGUGUAAAGGGGGAGUAGGCGGCAUGGGAAGCCAGAUGUGAAAGCCUUGGGCUUAACCCGAGGAUUGCAUUUGGUACUAUCAAGCUAGUGUACAGGAGAGGAAAGCGGACUUCCUAGUGUAGCGGUGAAAUGCGUAGAUAUUAGGAAGAACACCAGUGGCGAAGGCGGCUUUCUGGACUGAAACUGACGCUGAGGCACGAAAGCGUGGGGCGCGAACAGGAUUAGAUACCCGUGUAGUC